rnacentral:rRNA from 1 species
UACGUAGGGUGCGAGCGUUGUCCGGAAUUACUGGGCGUAAAGAGCUCGUAGGUGGUUUGUCGCGUUGUCCGUGAAAUUCCCUGGCUUAACUGGGGGCGUGCGGCGAUACGGGCAGACUGGAGUACUGCAGGGAGACUGGAAUUCUGGUGAUAGCGGUGGAAUACGCAGAUAUCAGGAGGAACACCGGUGGCGAAGGCGGCAUCCUGGACCGGCACUGACGCUGAGGAAGCGAAAGCCAGGGGAGCAAACGGG